rnacentral:tRNA from 1 species
GCCCUAGUAGCUUAAUUUAUAAAGCAUCGGUCUUGUAAUCCGAAGAUUGGAGGCUAAACUCCUCCCUAGCGCC